UACGUAGGGUCCGAGCGUUGUCCGGAAUUAUUGGGCGUAAAGAGCUCGUAGGCGGUUUGUCGCGUCUGCUGUGAAAUCCCGAGGCUCAACCUCGGGUCUGCAGUGGGUACGGGCAGACUGGAGUGCGGUAGGGGAGAAUGGAAUUCCCGGUGUAGCGGUGAAAUGCGCAGAUAUCGGGAAGAACACCCGUGGCGAAGGCGGUUCUCUGGGACGGUACUGACGCUGAGACGCGAAAGCGUGGGGAGCGAACAGG
rnacentral:rRNA from 1 species